GUACGUCGCUACGUCCGGUCUCUAGCCCGGACGCUCCGCCGGUCGCCUUCUGCAGAAGAGCUUCUCCUCAUCAACUGGGGAUGAUUACAGUUCUUCCUAAAAAAGCCUACUUGAUGUGAAGACAAUGAGGAUGAAGACCUUUAUGGUGAUCCACUUCCACUUAAUGAAUAGAUGGCUGCUCUUUUUCUAAAGAGGUUAACACUACAAACUGUAAAGUCUGAAAAUAGUUGCAUUAGAUGUUUUGGUAAACACAUCGUGCAAAAGACAGCACCAACACAGUUGUCCCCUAUUGCUUCUGCCCCAAGACUCUCCUUCCUAAUUCAUGCAAAAGCCUUUAGUAACGCUGAAGACACCCAGAAUGAAGGAAAAAAGAAAAAAAAGAAUAAAACAGCUUUUAGUAACAUUGGAAGAAAAAUUAGUCAGCGAAUUAUUCACUUAUUUGAUGAGAAGGGCAAUGAUUUGGGAAACAUGCAUCGAGCAAAUGUGAUUAGACUUAUGGAUGAGCGACACCUGCGACUGGUUGAAAGGAACACCAGCACAGAACCUGCAGAGUACCAGCUCAUGACAGGACUGCAGAUCUUCCAGGAGCAGCAGAGGCUGAGGGAGAUGGAGAAGGCGAGCCCCAAAACUGGACCAACCGUAAGAAAGGAACUGAUUUUGUCUUCAAAUAUUGGACAACAUGAUUUGGACACAAAGACUAAACAGAUUCAGCAGUGGAUUAAGAAAAAACACCUAGUCCAGAUUACUAUAAAGAAAGGAAAAAAUGUAGACGUGUCAGAAAAUGAAAUG
rnacentral:sRNA from 1 species